AGGGUCAGUGCACACAGGUUCGUGUCGAGUUCCUGGAUGAAUCUCACCGUUCUAUCAUCCGCAAUGUGAAAGGACCUGUACGUGAAGGGGAUAUCCUUACACUACUAGAAUCCGAACGUGAGGCCAGGAGAUUGAGGUGAUUUGGUGAGAUGCCUUCUUCUGAUGGACUAAGAAAUAAACUACUGUAUUAAGAAAA